UUUAAUUCGAAGCAACGCGAAGAACCUUACCAGGUCUUGACAUCUCUUGCAUAUCUUAGAGAUAAGAGAAACCCUUCGGGGCAAGAAGACAGGUGGUGCAUGGUUGUCGUCAGCUCGUGUCGUGAGAUGUUGGGUUAAGUCCCGCAACGAGCGCAACCCUUAUAACUAGUUGCCAGCAUUCAGAUGGGGACUCUAGUUAGACUGCCGGUGACAAACCGGAGGAAGGUGGGGAUGACGUCAAAUCAUCAUGCCCCUUAUGACCUGGGCUACACACGUGCUACAAUGGAUGGUACAACGAGUCGCUAACUCGCAAGAGCAUGCCAAUCUCUAAAAGCCAUUCUCAGUUCGGAUUGUAGUCUGCAACUCGACUACAUGAAGCCGGAAUCGCUAGUAAUCGCGGAUCAGCACGCCG
rnacentral:rRNA from 1 species